GAUGAACGCUGGCGGCGUGCCUAAUACAUGCAAGUCGAGCGAACAGAUGAGGAGCUUGCUCCUCUGACGUUAGCGGCGGACGGGUGAGUAACACGUGGAUAACCUACCUAUAAGACUGGGAUAACUUCGGGAAACCGGAGCUAAUACCGGAUAAUAUAUUGAACCGCAUGGUUCAAUAGUGAAAGACGGUUUUGCUGUCACUUAUAGAUGGAUCCGCGCCGCAUUAGCUAGUUGGUAAGGUAACGGCUUACCAAGGCAACGAUGCGUAGCCGACCUGAGAGGUGAUCGGCCACACUGGAACUGAGACACGGUCCAGACUCCUACGGGAGGCAGCAGUAGGGAAUCUUCCGCAAUGGGCGAAAGCCUGACGGAGCAACGCCGCGUGAGUGAUGAAGGUCUUCGGAUCGUAAAACUCUGUUAUUAGGGAAGAACAAAUGUGUAAGUAACUAUGCACGUCUUGACGGUACCUAAUCAGAAAGCCACGGCUAACUACGUGC
rnacentral:rRNA from 1 species